ACAAGGGUCACGUAGUUGGCUAGAGUGACAAGUCAUUAGCCAAAGGAUGAUCCUCAUCUCCCUUCGCAGCAUUAUGUAAUUCUGCACGGUGGGGAGGGCGAUGGCAAAAGACCCCAAGAUUCUAUGGGGGAGAGAGAGAAAAAAAGAGAGAUGGAGUGAGACAAAAAAUAGAUUAUUGGUUAAAUGGAAAAAGUAAAAGGGCAAUGGAAAAGAGCGUGUGAGAGCUAUAAGACCUAGAAAUCCUCUAAAGUUACCAAGAUGUUCAAGUUUCUCCACUUUGCCUGGUAUAGGAGACAAAUCAGUGGAUAAGAUAGCCAAACUCUGAUUUGAUUGAUCAAUACACCAGUUUCUGUUCCAUAGGACACCAUUAUAUACUAAUUUGAUUCAAACACCUCUAAUUCCUAGAUUUCUAAUUAAGGCUUUAAUCCUCAUAUCUGUAGUUCUUAACCUAGAUCAUUUUAUUUUCAACAUUAAUACUUCGGUGUAGGUGUGUAUUUCUUUUUUUUUUUUUUCCUUGAAAGAGUGCACACAAGCCAAAGUUCAAAACAAAAGAACUAAAAAAGUGUUUUGACCUAUUGAUUUACUUUUAUUCUGAACCACAAGGCUCAGUUUCUGUUAAGUGGGGUUUUGGACUAAUACCCCACAGGGUUCCUGCAGCAGUAUUUUUCUGUUAAAUUCAUAACGGAGAAAGGGUUUGAAUUGUUAUAAUCCUUUUCUGUAAAAAAUUGUACUUUGUUGUUUAAGAAGGUUCAAAAGGAAGUUUAUUCCUUGCUUUUAAGGAACCGUAGAGAUGGUUAAGGAGCUUAGUGGAACAUAAAUACUUUUAUGCCCGUGAAAGAGGCGAAGACCGAAGACAUACCGUUGCACAUAGUCACCUUCCUUCGUUACUUUUGCCGCAACAAUAUUCGAUAUUGAUAUGUCUCUGUAGGCUCUCUGCCCACUGCAAUUGCUAUUAGCUCUCCCUCGCUUUCUCUCUCUCUCUCUCUCUCUCUCCCCUUUUCCUUCUCCUUCUCCUUCUCUGUCUUUAUCGCUGUAGUUGAUGGAAUUUGAGCAUUCCAACAUGACUCCAAGGAGAAAAGGCCGAUCUCAUCGUAGAGGCUCAACAUAAACUGCGCAGCUUCAUUGGAAGGCCAAAAGAUUACGCUUUGCCCUUUCUCAUUUCGCCCUCCUCCUGUAUACAAAAAGGACAUUUUGGGAUUAGCUGCAGAAAUUUUAGAGUUUAGAGGUUGACGUUGUAUUAAUGGGAUUUGUGGAAGGCAUAGAAUGGAUGAAUACUUACAGUAGGAAGCAAUUCAAGAAACUGUUCUGGAGGAUGAGAGCUGCAAUGAAGAAAGCCAUCAAGAACGGAAGCAAGCAGCAGUUCAGGUUUCAGUAUGAUCCUUGCAGCUACGCUCUAAAUUUUGACGAUGGAUUAUGCAAAUUUGAAGCUGUCGCAAGUGAAACACAUGCAAAGUUUCAAGCUAGUUCAAAUUUGAAUCACUCUGCUAUGUGGGUUUUUGUACUUUUGGUGAAAUCUGAGUGAAUUUUCUUGAUAGGCAGAUUGACUCUUUGCCUGUUCAUUUUCUUCUUCAUUCUUGAUUAGAAACCAUCUAGUUCCAUUUCUGUAUAUCUAUGCUUGUGAUAUGAUCUAGAAUUAUUAAUUGAUUUUGGUCUUGGUUUUGUUUUGAGAGAAA